rnacentral:rRNA from 1 species
UACGAGGGGGGCGAGCGUUGUUCGGAAUUAUUGGGCGUAAAGGGUGCGUAGGCGGUUUGGUAAGUCUUAUGUGAAAUCUAUGGGCUCAACUCAUAGACUGCAUGAGAAACUGCCGGGCUUGAGUAUGGGAGAGGUGAGUGGAAUUCCUGGUGUAGCGGUGAAAUGCGUAGAUAUUGGGAGGAACACCAGUGGCGAAGGCGGCUCACUGGACCGGUUCUGACGCUGAUGCGCGAAAGCGUGGGGAGCGAACAGG